rnacentral:misc_RNA from 1 species
UUUCCGUUGGUGAACCAGCGGAAGGAUCAUUACAGAGAUCGUGCCCUUCGGGGUAGACCUCCCACCCUGUGUUAUUUGCGUAUGUUGCUUUGGCGGGCCGCCUCCGGGCUCUCGGCUUCGGCCGAGGUGUGCCCGCCAGAGAACCCACAACCCUGUGUUUAGUGUCGUCUGAGUAUUAUCAAAUAAGUUAAAACUUUCAACAACGGAUCUCUUGGUUCUG